CCGCGGGGAGCGCGGAGCUGCGCGGCCGCGGGGCGCAGGUGGGCCCCGCCGCCCCGUCACCCUCCAGGAGCAGGUGAGCCACUGACUAACGCACAUUGUGCUCUCGGCGACUCCACUGUGCGUGUGACAGCGGCUAACCUGCUCCUCGGACAUCGCUGUGCGGCCGCCUCACGUCGCCUCGUCCGCAUGACACCUCUCGCCCCGAGCGGGACACGAGGUGCAGCGACACGCCGAGGAACUCCCACCCGUCCGUCUGUCCGUCCGUCCGUCCGUCCGCCCGUCUGCUGCCUUGCCAUCGCCCCGUGAGCGAGAGGUGGGAUGCCGGUAGGGCAGAGCCGCAUGGCGCGGGCGGCAGAGGGCCGAGGAGGGAUGGAUCCCCCCUUUGUGGCCCAGUUUGUCUCCGAAGUCAAUAAAUGCUUACGGACGCCGUACCGAGUUAAAGGGAUGCUUUAUCCCGGCCGGUGACGUCUUGAUACCCAGUGACUAACUGAACUGCUAUUGCCAAGGGUGUGUUAAUAGAAGAAACCAUGCCUGGUAUUGCCCUGGAUGAGUCACCUUUAAAGAGAGACUCUGUAAUCUGUUAAAUGAGAAGCAGCACCGAGCUUUGCUUUCCUUCUUUGCCAUUUGCUUCCCAUCGCACCCCGCACCUUUGCUCACUCUUUCCUGCUCCCACCCACGGGGCUGCCUGUCCCUCUGUCACCGUGGUGUCGCACAGCUGAGGAGCACAGCACAGGGGCUGCUCAGCGGGGAGCACAGCUGUCGCUGGGAGUGGAGGAAGUGACGAGGCAAAUUGCUGCUCGAGCAAAGUUCUCUCUUUCGAUUUUGAACCCAUAAAGAAGCCGGGUGGUUGGAAAGCGUCCUGCUAGGUUAUGGCAUGGCUUCAUCUCCUGCUUAAACUAAUUGCGAGCAGACAUUGCCCUCUGAGGUUUCCAGAAGGGCCUGGGUAGUCUCUGUUGCGUUUGCGUUGCUUGCAUGUAACCCUGGGCUGUUGCAGCAAUGCUGUCAGUAAGCACUUAACCGUACAGAAAGGCAGCACAACAUCCUUCUUGCAGACCGAGUCUCCCACACAGAAGUGCUGCCCGUCCCCAUCUCCCCUGCCUGUACUCCUUUGACGUUUCUCCUGCCGGGUCCCAGAGGAGGAAAAUCUGGUGCUCUGCAUGCCUCAUGCAGAGCGAGUGAGUCAAGGUUGCUUCUGCACACCAGAAGGCUGCCUGAAUUUACCAAAGCUGCUUGUACAAUUGCUGUGUAGCUCGGUGCCUCGCUGCUGGGGAUCCCGCUGGCAGAAAUGGCUCUGCAGGUCACUCUGAUGAGGUUGGUCCUGCUUCCCAUCAGGCAGCACUUGGUAUGAAAACUUGUGACUUCCCUCUACCUCCAAGACCAUCCUGUUUGGCUCCAGUAAGCAAAGGCAAGGGAUUGAAUGAAGUUUGUUUGUGUUUCCUUUUUUUUUUUUUUUUUUUUUGGUGUGCUUCCCUCCAGUAAGUGGGGGAAACGUAUCACUGAAUUUUUGUUUUUAACGUUCUUUUGCAUGAUUCAAAACUAACCUACUGUGCUGUCACCUGAAGUCUUCAAUAAACAGUGCAAAACCAGUGUCUGGAUGCUCAUUACUAUAACUCGGGGCUUGGCAGAUUACGGAGCAGGUCCUUAAGGUGGCCUUUGGUAAGAGGAAGCUGUGCCUGCUCAGGCGUGGCUGAUGUGUGUUGCAUGCUGAGCGCUUCCCAUGUCUCAUUUUGCCUCUAGAGCAAAAGAAGGUGGACUUGAAAAGGAG
ensembl:lncRNA